UCGAGUUUUGACUGGGUUGUAGCUGGCCUUCCGAGGCAUGUGCACGCCCUGCUCAUCCACUCUACACCUGUGCACUUACUGUGGGUUUUUACGGGUCGUGAAAUGGGCUCGUUUAUUCGGGCUUGUUGAGCGCACUUGUUGCCUGCGUUUAUCACAAACUCUAUAAAGUAUUAGAAUGUGUAUUGCGAUGUAAACGCAUCUAUAUA
rnacentral:misc_RNA from 1 species